rnacentral:misc_RNA from 1 species
GGGUGAGCGGUUUCCUUUGGGGCUUUGGCUGCUGGCCAGUUGUCCAUGCUCCAGU